GCAGCGCUGCGACGAGCCUUCAGGCGUCGGGGCGUCUCCGCCCAGGGCGACGGCCAGCGCUUCGGCGGUUCGCUGCCCCCUGAGGGAGCCUGUCAUAUAUACAAAACGGAAAAAGGGAACAGUGCUGGCAGCAUAGAAGCGUUGUUUAGUGACAUAAUAUCACGGUGGAAAUGCCACUUUGUGGUUUUCCAAGUGCCAGAUGCUCCCCUUCACCCGUAGAAACUUCUGGAAUACUAACGACGGCCUCGGAGGACGGCGCUUCCGGAGCCUCCCGUGAUGUCCACCCCGCCGAGCGCAGGCGGGGAGCGCGUUUCUGGCCGUACUACGGCACAGAGGUGUUCUUGGGCCAGAGGUCAAAUCGGAGCUGUAGCUGCUGGCCUAGCCAUAGCCACAACAUCAGAUCUGAGCCGCGUCGUGACCGACACCACAGCUUGGUGCAACACCAGAACCCUAACCACUGAGCACGGCCAGGAAUUCAACCUGCAUCGUCAGGGUCCCAGGCUAGGGGGCAGAUCUGAGCCAUAGCUGCCGGCCUACCCUGCAGCCACAGCAACGCCAGAUCUGAGCCGCGUCUUCACCACAGCUCACAGCAACGCUGGAUCCUUAACCCUCUAAGCAAGGCCAGGCAUCAAACCUGCAACCUCAUGGUUCCUAGUCAGACUCAUUUCUUCUGUGCCAUGUUGGAAACUCCCUGAAGCUGCAUGCCGGCACUUUGGGGGCGUUCUGUUCAAUUUAGCAAGUCUGCCUUGAGUAUGUCACUGUAUCAGAACACUGUGCCCCGGGGUGGAAGAUGUUCCCCACCAGUUUUUACUGCUACUCUGACACUCGAUGUAAUAGGUCAGACAUCAUGUUCUAUGAUAGUGGCUCCCAGUCAGCUGUAGAUUAGAAUCCAGGGGGUUGCGUCCUAUCCAGGAAUUGGACUCUAAGCCCAUCUAUAGAGAAAAAGUUGGGUAUGUCAGGCGUAUCCUCGAAAAGUUCCCUGGGAAUGCUCCACCACGGAGACCAGUGCUCUUUCACCAUGGCAGUUCUCCCUUCAAUUUUGGAACCGGUCCAUUGCAUCUUGGUCUGAGCGCAGAUGAAGUAGUUGCCUGACUUUUAGGGCUAAGCUCUUGAAAAUAUGCACUCUAGCGGUAAACACCAGAAUCCCAUUCCGUGGGGAAAUGUUCACACUUUGAGAGCCUUCGCAGGAACUGAGCCUCCAGAAGGAAAAGCAGGUUUAUGUUCCCCAUUGCCACGUGCUGCCUGCAAGUCCAUGUUGGCUCUUUUCAUUUAGUCAUUUAACUGAAUUCAGAUCAGUGAAAUGAGGCAUGAAGUAUGAGGCACAGGGCAUCAGGCAGCUCUGCCAUAAGUAACGUGCCUUCAUGCACUGUUGUGUUUUUGUUGAAGAAGCACUUUUAUGUAGGGCAGGAGUUCUCCAGUGACAGCCCAGGGACUCCUGGAGGUCUCUGAAACCCUUUCAGGGGGUGCACAACUGUUGUUAUAGUAAUACUUAGAGGUUAUUUUCCCUUUUGACCCUUAUUUUCUCGUGCGUGGGAUUGACCGUCUUUUUAAUGUACACGUGGCCAGGCUCCUCAGUUAACCCAGUCAAACACUAAUCUAGGUGCUGCUGUAGUGUUAUUUUGUAGGUGAUUAAAGUACAAAGUUGAGAGUUCCUGUUGUGGCUCUGGAGUAACGAACCCGACACAACUAGCAUCCAUGAAGACACGGGUUUGAUCCCUGGCCUUGUUCAGUGGGUUAAAGAUUUGGCGUUGCUGUGAGUUGCAGUAUAGAUUGCAGAUGCGUCUCAGAUCUCGAGAUGCAGUGGCUGUGGCAUAGGCCAGUAGCUGUAGCUCUGACUUGACCCCUAGCCUGGGAACCUCCAUAUGCUGUGGGAUCGGCCCUAGAAAAGGCAAAAAAAAAAAAAAAAAAAAAAAAAAAAG
rnacentral:lncRNA from 9 species